rnacentral:rRNA from 1 species
GGUUAAAAGGUGGCUAGGAAUAGUAACUUUUUAUCGAUAGGUGGAAUGGUAUAUAAAGAGUUGUUUUGUGCAUUCCUUCUUUUUGAUGCCAUGAAAAUUAAGUUGUAAACCGGGAUUAGAUACCCCGUUAUUCUUUUUCUUAAAUGUUGAUGAUUGAAAUUUAUCAGAGUAUUACGAGUUGCUCGUACUAGGUGAGCUGUACUUAAAACUCAAAAAACUUGGCGGUGCCUCAAUUCUUUCCAGGGGAACCUGUUCUGUAAUCGAUAGUCCACGUUUAAGCUUACUUUGUUUUGUACCAUAUUAUUAUGGAUCAGUUUGUAUACCGUCGUCGUCAGAUUACCUUUAAAAGUAAAGAAGUUAUCAGGUUAAGUAAAGCUUGUUGAUAGUUCAAUAAGCUAAUUUGUGAUGUCAGAUCAAGGUGCAGCUAAUAACAAAGCAGAAAUGGGUUACAAUAAUUAUUUUUUUUGGAUUUUGAGUUGUAAAAAUUUAAAUGAAAUUGGACUUGGAAGUAAUAAGAUUGUAAGUUUAGUAGAAAGA